rnacentral:rRNA from 1 species
UACAGAGGUCUCAAGCGUUGUUCGGAUUCACUGGGCGUAAAGGGUGCGUAGGUGGCACGGUAAGUCAGAUGUGAAAGCCCGGAGCUCAACCCCGGAAUGGCAUCCGAUACUGCCGUGCUGGAGGACUGGAGAGGAGACUGGAAUUCUCAGUGGAGCAGUGAAAUGCGUAGAUAUUGAGAGGAACACCAGUGGCGAAGGCGAGACUCUGGACAAUUCCUGACGCUGAGGCACGAAGGCCAGGGGAGCAAAC